rnacentral:rRNA from 1 species
GGUUAAACUGUCUCCUUUUUCAGAUCAGUGAAACUAAUCUCCCCGUGAAGAAGCGGGGAUAAUUCUAUAAGACGAGAAGACCCCAUGGAGCUUUAAACCCAACCACACCCCUCUUUAACUUUACUUUAAAAUUCUUGGGAUAUUUGUGUUUUGGUUUUAGGUUGGGGUGACCGCGGAGCAUAAAUUAGCCUCCAUAAUGAAUAGAUCUUCUCUUUAUCUAAGACUUACACUUCUAAGAAUUAGCACUCUAACAUAAAAUGAUCCGAUAUUCGAUCAACGAACCAAGUUACCCUGGGGAUAACAG